rnacentral:rRNA from 1 species
GACGAACGCUGGCGGCGUGCUUAACACAUGCAAGUCGAACGGAAAGGCCCUGCUUUUGUUGGGUGCUCGAGUGGCGAACGGGUGAGUAACACGUGAGUAACCUGCCCUUGACUUUGGGAUAACUUCAGGAAACUGGGGCUAAUACCGGAUAGGAGCUCCUGCUGCAUGGUGGUGGUUGGAAAGUUUCGGCGGUUGGGGAUGGACUCGCGGCUUAUCAGCUUGUUGGUGGGGUAGUGGCUUACCAAGGCUUUGACGGGUAGCCGGCCUGAGAGGGUGACCGGGCACAUUGGGACUGAGAUACGGCCCAGAAUCCUACGGGAGGCAGCAGGGGGGAAUAUUGCACAAUGGGCGGAAGCCUGAGGCAGCAACGCCGCGUGCGGGAUGACGGCCUUCGGGUUGUAAACCGCUUUCGCCUGUGACGAAGCGUGAGUGACGGUAAUGGGUAAAGAAGCACCGGCUAACUACGUG